AAUUAAAAUAAAAUAAAAUAAAAUAAAAUAAAAUAAAAUAAAAUAAAAUAAAAUAAAAUAAAUAAAAGGGAAAGGUGUCAUUUUAAAGAUUUUUGCAUCCCACAGGUCAUCUCUGCAGAGGAAGCUUCUUCCAGCCGUGGACAUACCUGCCGCCACUCACCUUCCAACACGACAAUUCUGCGACACCAGCAGGACACCACAGAUAAUGAAGACACAGCAUGUACAAAACUGGAAAGUUUUCGAUCUAUAGAUGCUGGGAACCUGGGAAUAUUUGUCAAAGAUUUAAUUACUGCUUUGCCCUAUUCAAAAC
rnacentral:lncRNA from 1 species